AGAAUUCAAGAGGUUCCCAUCCAGUUUCCUGCUACUACGACAGACUUUUCCUCUCUCCAACCAGGAAAUUCCAUGAUCUUGCUUAUUCCUGUCUUGGGAAGUCCUUCUCCAUGUCUAACCAAGAUCUAUAUGGCUAUAGCACUACCAAGAGAACCCCUUAAUUGGGGAAAGAGAGAGAAGGAAAGGGGCUGUGCAGGGCAAAAACCCUAGAGCCAGCCCCGUGCUCGGUGCCGCAAAAUGAAAAUAGCACUCAGGCAAAAGUUUUCUCAACAAGGCAAUUUACUUCUAUAGCAGGGUGUGUCUAGUGGAUGGAGCAAUGGUGAGAGCACACCAGACAAGGGAGGAGAAGGGGGUCUUAUCCCUAAUGCAGCUAGUCCCUACUGCUAUGUCUUUUCCCUAUUGGCUAAGGUUGGACCGCAUAGUCUAAGCUAAUUCCGAUUGGCUAUUUUAAAGAGAGCGAGAGUGGCCGGGCGCGGUGGCUCACGCCUGUAAUCCCAGCACUUUGGGAGGCCGAGGCGGGUGGAUCGUGAGGUCAGGAGAUCGAGACCAUCCUGGCUAACAAGGUGAAACCCCGUCUCUACUAAAAAUACAAAAAAUUAGCCGGGCGCGGUGGCGGGUGCCUGUAGUCCCAGCUACUCGGGAGGCUGAGGCAGGAGAAUGGCGUGAACCCGGGAGGCGGAGCUUGCAGUGAGCCGAGAUUGCGCCACUGCAGUCUGCAGUCCGGCCUGGGCGACAGAGCGAGACUCCGUCUCACAAAAAAAAAAAAAAAAAAAAAAAAAAAAAAAAAAAAAAAAGAGAGCGAGGGUAGGAGCCGGAGUGGUGGGGUGAGUAGUU
rnacentral:lncRNA from 1 species